rnacentral:lncRNA from 1 species
AUAAUUGUGUGCAGUAACUACAUGAACAUCCAAGAUGAGGUGAAUCAAGUAGUCAUCCAUGAGCUAAUUCAUGCAUAUGAUGACUGCCGUGCUGCAAACUUGGAAUGGUCUGAUUGUGCUCAUCAUGCUUGUAGUGAAGUUUGUGCUCUAUGAUGAUUGCCGUGCUGCAAACUUGGAAUGGUCUGAUUGUGCUCAUCAUGCUUGUAGUGAAGUUUGUGCUCUAAAAACCUCUCUUUCAUGCUAAAUCAUCUUCUUUUGAGUUUGUCUUUUGACUAAAGAACAUAAAUUCUUUGUAACUGAUUGCAGAUUAGAGCUGGCCAUCUUAG